rnacentral:rRNA from 1 species
GACGAACGCUGGCGGCGUGCCUAAUACAUGCAAGUAGAACGAAGUUGCGAACGGGAGAGUAACGCGUAGGUAACUGCCUGGUAGCGGGGGAUAACUACUGGAAACGAUAGCUAAUACCGCAUACUACCAGAUGGACCUGCGUUGUAUUAGCAAGUUGGUGAGGUAACGGCUCACCAAGGCAACGGUACAUAGCCGACCUGUGCGGGUGAACGGCCCAACUGGGACUGAGACACGGCCCAGACUCCGACGGGAGGCAGCCGGAGGGCAUCUUCGGCAAUGGGGGGCACGCUGACCGCGCAACGCCGCGUGAGUGGAGAAGGUUUUCGGAUCGUAAAGCUCUGUUGUUAAGGAAGCGGUACUUAAACAAGAAGGGACGGCUAACUACGUGCCAGCCGCCGCGGUAAUAC